UACGUAGGGUGCAAGCGUUGUCCGGAAUUAUUGGGCGUAAAGAGCUUGUAGGCGGUUUGUCGCGUCUGCUGUGAAAUUUCGGGGCUCAACCCCGAACUUGCAGUGGGUACGGGCAGACUAGAGUGUGAUAGGGGAGACUGGAAUUCCUGGUGUAGCGGUGAAAUGCGCAGAUAUCAGGAGGAACACCGAUGGCGAAGGCAGGUCUCUGGGCCAUAACUGACGCUGAGAAGCGAAAGCAUGGGGAGCGAACAGG
rnacentral:rRNA from 1 species